UACAGAGGUCUCAAGCGUUGUUCGGAUUCAUUGGGCGUAAAGGGUGCGUAGGUGGCGAGGUUAGUCAGGUGUGAAAUCUCGGGGCUCAACCCCGAAACUGCACUUGAUACUGCCUUGCUAGAGUACUGGAGAGGAGAUUGGAAUUUACGGUGUAGCAGUGAAAUGCGUAGAUAUCGUAAGGAAGACUAGUGGCGAAGGCGAAUCUCUGGACAGUUACUGACACUGAGGCACGAAGGCCAGGGGAGCAAACGGG
rnacentral:rRNA from 1 species